rnacentral:rRNA from 1 species
UGGGGAAUAUUGGACAAUGGGCGAAAGCCUGAUCCAGCCAUGCCGCGUGUGUGAAGAAGGUCUUCGGAUUGUAAAGCACUUUAAGUUGGGAGGAAGGGCAGUAAGCUAAUACCUUGCUGUUUUGACGUUACCGGCAGAAUAAGCACCGGCUAACUCUGUGCCAGCAGCCGCGGUAAUACAGAGGGUGCAAGCGUUAAUCGGAAUUACUGGGCGUAAAGCGCGCGUAGGUGGUUUGUUAAGUUGGAUGUGAAAGCCCCGGGCUCAACCUGGGAACUGCAUCCAAAACUGGCAAGCUAGAGUAUGGUAGAGGGUGGUGGAAUUUCCUGUGUAGCGGUGAAAUGCGUAGAUAUAGGAAGGAACACCAGUGGCGAAGGCGACCACCUGGACUGAUACUGACACU